rnacentral:rRNA from 1 species
GACGAACCGUCCUAACGUUAUUCGGAUUCACUGGGCUUAAAGGGCGCGUAGGCGGACGAGCAAGUCCGGGGUGAAAUCUUUCGGCUUAACCGGAAAAGUGCCUUGGAUACUGCUCGUCUUGAGGGAGGUAGGGGCAUGUGGAACUUCCGGUGGAGCGGUGAAAUGCGUUGAUAUCGGAAGGAACGCCGGUGGCGAAAGCGACGUGCUGGCCCUCUUCUGACGCUGAGGCGCGAAAGCUAGGGGAGCAAACGGG